rnacentral:rRNA from 1 species
CCUACGGGUGGCAGCAGUAGGGAAUAUUGCUCAAUGGGGGAAACCCUGAAGCAGCAACGCCGCGUGGAGGAUGAAGGUUUUCGGAGUGGAAACUCCUUUUGUUAGAGAAGAGAAUUACGGUAUCUAACGAAUAAGCACCGGCUAACGCCGUGCCAGCAGCCGCGGUAAUACGGAGGGUGCAAGCGUUACACGGAAUCACUGGGCGUAAAGGGCGCGUAGGCGGGAUAGCAAGUCAGAUGUGAAAUCCUUUGGCUUAACCCUAGAACUGCAUUUGAAACUGUUAUUCUAGAGUAUGGGAGAGGUAGGUGGAAUUCUUGGUGUAGCGGUCAAAUCCGUAGAGAUCAAGAAGAAUACUCAUUGCGAAGGCGACCUGCUAGAACGUAACUGACGCUGAUGCGCGAAAGCGUGGGGAGCAAACAGGAUUAGAUACCCCUGUAGUC